GUAGGUGGCAAGUGUUGUCCGGAAUUAUUGGGCGUAAAGCGCGCGCAGGCGGGGUCCUUUAAGGUCUGAUGUGAAAGCCCACAGCUCAACCGUGGAGGGUCAUUGGAAACUGGGGGACUUGAGUACAGAAGAGGAAAGCGGAAUUCCAAGUGUAGCGGUGAAAUGCGUAGAGAUUUGGAGGAACACCAGUGGCGAAGGCGGCUUUCUGGUCUGUAACUGACGCUGAGGCGCGAAAGCGUGGGGAGCAAACAGGAUUAGAUACCCUGGUAGUCCACGCCGUAAACGAUGAGUGCUAAGUGUUAGGGGGUUUCCGCCCCUUAGUGCUGCAGCUAACGCAUUAAGCACUCCGCCUGGGGAGUACGGCCGCAAGGCUG
rnacentral:rRNA from 1 species